GACGAACGCUGGCGGCGUGCUUAACACAUGCAAGUCGAGCGGUAAGGCCCUUUCGGGGGUACACGAGCGGCGAACGGGUGAGUAACACGUGGGUGACCUGCCCUUAGCUCUGGGAUAAGCCUGGGAAACUGGGUCUAAUACCGGAUAUGACUCCAUGACGCAUGUUGUGGGGUGAAAGCCUUGUGCGGCUAGGGAUGGGCCCGCGGCCUAUCAGCUUGUUGGUGGGGUGAUGGCCACCAAGGCGACGACGGGCAGCCGGCCUGAGAGGGCGACCGGCCACACUGGGACUGAGACACGGCCCAGACUCCUACGGGAGGCAGCAGUGGGGAAUCUUGCGCAAUGGGCGAAAGCCUGACGCAGCGACGCGCGUGAGGAUGACG
rnacentral:rRNA from 1 species